rnacentral:rRNA from 1 species
GAUGAACGCUGGCGGCGUGCCUAAUACAUGCAAGUCGAGCGAACAGACGAGGAGCUUGCUCCUCUGACGUUAGCGGCGGACGGGUGAGUAACACGUGGAUAACCUACCUAUAAGACUGGGAUAACUUCGGGAAACCGGAGCUAAUACCGGAUAAUAUAUUGAACCGCAUGGUUCAAUAGUGAAAGACGGUUUUGCUGUCACUUAUAGAUGGAUCCGCGCCGCAUUAGCUAGUUGGUAAGGUAACGGCUUACCAAGGCAACGAUGCGUAGCCGACCUGAGAGGGUGGUAGGCCACACUAGAACUGAGACACGGUCCAGACUCCUACGGGAGGCAGCAGUAGGGAAUCUUCCGCAAUGGGCGAAAGCCUGACGGAGCAACGCCGCGUGAGUGAUGAAGGUCUUCGGAUCGUAAAACUCUGUUAUUAGGGAAGAACAAAUGUGUAAGUAACUAUGCACGUCUUGACGGUACCUAAUCAGAAAGCCACGGCUAACUACGUG